GGGGAAUUAGCUCAGCUGGGAGAGUGCUUCGCUGGCAGUGAAGAGGUCAGGGGUUCGAGCCCCCUAUUCUCCA
rnacentral:tRNA from 1 species